CCUCCAUAGCCGGGUGAGCCUGGUUUCAGCUUCUCUUUAUUAGAAAGGGAAAACUAUUUUCACAAAAGUGGCAUCGAUCCAGAGCGAGGGACCGACUCCUCUCAGUUGGGAGGACCUUCGACACCGAAUUCAGUAGGCUCAGGUUUGCAGGCCACCAUCAGUGGCUUUAAAUGAAACACCAGACCACACAACACUGUGGAAACACUGAAGAUGCUGUCUGCAUAGGGAAAUUCGCUGUUUUUUUCCUCUCCUAAACUCUCUGAAGAAGCUAAAACCAAAAUUCUCAUCACUGUCAAUGAGAGCAGGACUGGACCUUUUGCAGAUAUAGAUAUAAAAUGAGACAAAUAUGAUUAUUUGGAGCUGAAUGCAUGCACUUUAAAAGUGUGUUAUUCAUGAGAAAAAGAUCUGAAGACAAAAUGAUUGCUCACUUGUGGCGCUUGCUGGUGUUGCUCGGGGGAAGAAAGCAGCAGCAGCAGCCGGUGCGAGAGGGAAGUGGCUGGCAACCAGCACAAGGAUGGGUUUCACUCCUGGCCCUUUCUCAGGCGAGACGGGAGCUUUUCCUGAGCACAGUCCGCGAGACUGGAUCACAGCUCCUCAGCCUUCAGCACAUUAAGGUAACCUUCUACUGCAGGAUAUUUGUAAUGCUGAGCAGAAUGGCAAGUGGUAUCUUGUCCAGGCCCGGGUAAGUCUUCCAGUUAAACAAAUAUUUGGCAACAAUAUUUUUGCCUAAACUUUGUUGCUACCAACACAUAAGAGAGAAAUAAUAAUAUUCCAUUUCAUCUCCUAAACUAUCCCUUCUUUAUGCAGCCACAUUAGGUUUAAAAUAGACUACAACAAUUUGAGCACUUGAUAGCUGACGUGCAGGUUAGUUUAAGAGCACAUGGAGGCAAAUCCUCAGGCAAUGUAAAUCAUCCCGAGGCUGCUACAAGGUGCUUCUCUGAUCUGCUUCAGGAAGGUACCUUGCAUGUGAGGUCUGCUCGCCAGCCAGCUUUUGCUUACCAUAGAGAUCUUCAGCACCCGAGCAUUUUCCUUUUUACUCACUGGCAUGCUCUUUAUGAUAAAAUGCACAUUUAUCUACGCUGAUAAAAUUGAAAUUGAACCGCAGUAAUAUGUGGCCAGGACCGUCCUUGUUGCAUGAUCCAAUAAAAUUCUCAGCCAGGGUUCCCUCUAAGGAUUA
rnacentral:lncRNA from 1 species